UGGGGAAUAUUGGGCAAUGGGCGCAAGCCUGACCCAGCAACGCCGCGUGAAGGAAGAAGGCUUUCGGGUUGUAAACUUCUUUUCUCAGGGACGAAGCAAGUGACGGUACCUGAGGAAUAAGCCACGGCUAACUACGUGCCAGCAGCCGCGGUAAUACGUAGGUGGCAAGCGUUAUCCGGAUUUACUGGGUGUAAAGGGCGUGUAGGCGGGACUGCAAGUCAGAUGUGAAAACCACGGGCUCAACCUGUGGCCUGCAUUUGAAACUGUAGUUCUUGAGUACUGGAGAGGCAGACGGAAUUCCUAGUGUAGCGGUGAAAUGCGUAGAUAUUAGGAGGAACACCAGUGGCGAAGGCGGUCUGCUGGACAGCAACUGACGCUGAGGCGCGAAAGCGUGGGGAGCAAACAGGAUUAGAUACCC
rnacentral:rRNA from 1 species